rnacentral:rRNA from 1 species
AGAGUUUGAUCAUGGCUCAGGAUGAACGCUAGCGGCAGGCCUAAUACAUGCAAGUCGAACGCUCAGUAGCAAUACUGGGAGUGGCGCACGGGUGCGUAACACGUACACAAUCUACCUCUAAGCGGGGGACACCUCCUGGAAACGGGGAUUAAUACCGCAUAAUAUGCCGAGGUCGCAUGACUUUGGUAUUAAAGCAGCAAUGCACUUAGAGAUGAGUGUGCGUCCCAUUAGGUAGUUGGUGAGGUAACGGCUCACCAAGCCUAUGAUGGGUAGCCGGUCUGAGAGGAUGGUCGGCCACACGGGCACUGAGACACGGGCCCGACUCCUACGGGAGGCAGCAGUAAGGAAUAUUGGUCAAUGGUGGAAACACUGAACCAGCCAUGCCGCGUGGAGGAAUAAGGUCCUACGGAUUGUAAACUCCUUUUGACGAGGAAGAAAGUGUUAGAUUUAUCUAAUUUUGACGGUACUCGUAGAAUAAGCACCGGCUAACUCCGUG